GCUGGGUCGGUUUUGAGAUCGCGAUGUUGGACGAGUGGUCCGGACAUGAAUGCACGUUGAGCGAUCGAUGGUUGUUCCUGUCGAUGGAAGUCUAAGAAACAGAGCAGACUUUACCAUGAGAAUUGGCGAAGAUCUGGCACUAUCAGGUCGAUGGCGAGAUACCGAGCGAGAGCUUGGAGCAUAUGAGCACAUGCAUGGAUGCGUGUGAAUACUUGUUGGGCG
rnacentral:misc_RNA from 1 species